GAAGUCCUGACGGUACCCACGGAGGAAGGCCCGGCUAACUACGUGCCAGCAGCCGCGGUAAUACGUAGGGGUCGAGCGUUGUCCGGAGUUACUGGGCGUAAAGCGCGUGCAGGUGGCUCAUCACGCCCGGCGUGAAAGCCCCCGGCUUAACCGGGGAGGGUCGUCGGGGACGGGUGAGCUUGAGGGUCGCAGGGGCUGGUGGAAUUCCCGGUGUAGUGGUGAAAUGCGUAGAGAUCGGGAGGAACACCCGUGGCGAAGGCGGCCAGCUGGGCGAGCCCUGACACUGAGACGCGAAGGCGUGGGGAGCGAACGGGAUUAGAUACCCCGGUAGUCCACGCCGUAAACGUUGGGCGCUAGGUGUGGGGCUCAUUCCACGAGUUCCGUGCCGCAGCAAACGCAUUAAGCGCCCCGCCUGGGGAGUACGGCCGCAAGGAUAAAACUCAAAGGAAUUGACGG
rnacentral:rRNA from 1 species